rnacentral:rRNA from 1 species
AAAUUGAAGAGUUUGAUCAUGGCUCAGAUUGAACGCUGGCGGCAGGCCUAACACAUGCAAGUCGAACGGUAACAGGAAGCAGCUUGCUGCUUUGCUGACGAGUGGCGGACGGGUGAGUAAUGUCUGGGAAACUGCCUGAUGGAGGGGGAUAACUACUGGAAACGGUGGCUAAUACCGCAUAAUGUCGCAAGACCAAAGAGGGGGACCUUCGGGCCUCUUGCCAUCAGAUGUGCCCAGAUGGGAUUAGCUUGUUGGUGAGGUAACGGCUCACCAAGGCGACGAUCCCUAGCUGGUCUGAGAGGAUGACCAGCCACACUGGAACUGAGACACGGUCCAGACUCCUACGGGAGGCAGCAGUGGGGAAUAUUGCACAAUGGGCGCAAGCCUGAUGCAGCCAUGCCGCGUGUAUGAAGAAGGCCUUCGGGUUGUAAAGUACUUUCAGCGGGGAGGAAGGUGUUGUGGUUAAUAACCGCAGCAAUUGACGUUACCCGCAGAAGAAGCACCGGCUAACUCCGUGCCAGCAGCCGCGGUAAUACGGAGGGUGCAAGCGUUAAUCGGAAUUACUGGGCGUAAAGCGCACGCAGGCGGUCUGUCAAGUCGGAUGUGAAAUCCCCGGGCUCAACCUGGGAACUGCAUUCGAAACUGGCAGGCUUGAGUCUUGUA